AAGAAGAAGGCAUUAGAAUAUGUGUGUACUGUUCAAGCAGUAGAGAACAGCCCUGGGGUUGCUGAGACGCAUGCACAAAUAGAGAGGUUGUAUUUCUACAUUCAAAAAUGCGUAUGGGGACAAAUUCAGAUCUUACUAUCAAGACAACCCAACACUUCAUAUUGCCAAAUGGCCUGCAGAAACAGACUCAUUCCUGAUUCUCAUGCAUUUAAAAUCCUGACUGUUUGGGACUGCAGGAUUUUCACUCUCUCAUGGUGAGUUUGCUUUUGCUUUAGCUUUUGCUUUUGUCUGUCACUUAGAAGAGAGUAAACAAUAGUCAUACCUCACAUAUAUGCCUACAGAUAACUCAGGAGGGUAUGAAUUUUAGUAGCUUCUUAAGUCAAGUGACUAAUAUUAUCAGUACUCAAAGAUCAUUGAUUUCCCCUGAGCAGCGUCCAUAGUUAGACUGUAAUGGAUUUGGAAAACGCUGUUCUUACAUGUUAACUGUUCUUCAUAGUAAUGGCUAGUAAUAGUGGACAUUUUUGUAUUUUAUCUUGCUUUAUCCUUGCACUUUUAGGAGUGGCAUACCUACACAGAAGCUGAAAAUAACUUCUUAUUCUUUUGUUAAUUUAGUUUUUGGUAACAACAAAUUCUAAUUUAAGUCUGGAACUCAAUAAUUAAUGUCAAAGAAUAUGAUGACAAUGCCAUAAAACUUUAUCAGAAGGUUUUUAUGAAACUUGAUUAGGGUUUUUUCACUGGCAUGAAUUGAAAUGAUGUUAUCUUGCUGGACUGAGUGCAUAAUGAAGUCUACAGAGGAACUUAUAUGCAUUUAUUGCUUAUUUAGUGCAUAUGUUAUUUCAUUUUCAAAUCUUCAUGAACUUUCAGUGUAACAAGAUGCCAUAUACAGCCUCCUAGUCUCAUGUGAUUUCCUUCAUAGUCCUGUGACUUGAUAACUGUCAUGGUUUAAUUCCAGCUGGGAACUAGGUACCCCACAGCUGCUUGGUCACUCCACCCCCAGUGGGGAGGUGAAUCAGGUUGAGAUAAAAACAGCUGGAUUAUUGAAACAAAGUAAAAUAAUUAUAAUAAUAAAAAGGAGAAAGAGAGGAAUAACA
rnacentral:lncRNA from 1 species